UGAGGAAUAUUGGGCAAUGCCCGCAAGGGUGACCCAGCAACGCCGCGUGGAGGAUGAAUGUCGUAAGAUUGUAAACUCCUGUUAGAGGGGAAGAAUAGUACCGGUUGGACCGGUAUAUGACUGUACCCUCAGAGAAAGCCCCGGCUAACUACGUGCCAGCAGCCGCGGUAAUACGUAGGGGGCAAGCGUUGUCCGGAUUUACUGGGUGUAAAGGGCGCGCAGGCGGUUUUGUAAGACAGAUGUGAAAUCCCCGGGCUUAACCUGGGAACUGCGUUUGUGACUGCAGGGCUGGAGUACGGCAGAGGGGGGUGGAAUUCCACGUGUAGCAGUGAAAUGCGUAGAGAUGUGGAGGAACACCGAUGGCGAAGGCAGCCCCCUGGGCCUGUACUGACGCUCAUGCACGAAAGCGUGGGGAGCAAACA
rnacentral:rRNA from 1 species